rnacentral:rRNA from 1 species
CCCUAUGGGGCGCACCAGGCCUCCGGGGGUAUCCAGCUUGAAAAUGACGAGUUCUCCCUUCUCUUUUUCCGCCCGGUCAAGCACAUCGGAGACGAAGUUCUCCAUGGCGAUGCCCACAGUGCCGUCGAGGGAAGCAGAAUAGACCGACCCCCGGGCCGGAAGAGGAAAGAAUCCAGCGAGAACGAGGAAAAGAACCAGCGAAACCAUUCCUGUUCCAAAAGAUCUCUUCUUCAUCUCAUCACCUCCUUCAAUGCAUCUUUGAGGGUCGCGGCCCGUACAGUCUCCAUUGGCGCGCCCUUCAGCUGAUUUUCUCUCGAGCUUAUGACAGCCCUGGUGAAUCCGAGGCGGGAGGGC